rfam:Equus caballus chromosome 13, whole genome shotgun sequence.
CUAGCUUCGGUGCUGGGGAAUGGCCCCCGGGGUGGGCCUCCACUCCGGCCCCUCUUGGGGCCCGCACUCUUACUUCGGGCUGG